UUCAACAAAUCCAGUGGCACGUAUACUCCUCUUGUCAGAUUUUACCGUUGCUGGUGAAGUGAUGGCAGCUUGUUCCAAAAGGCAUUUCUACAGGGAAACUGAGGCCCAGGGAGGGUCAGUGAUUCCUCAGGAUUCCACGGCUUGUCAGCAGCAGCACCAGGACUCAAAGGAGAGAAAAAAAGAGAAGAUGCUCAUGGUCCUUGUGCGUGGGAGCCAUGAUGAUGAAAUUGAGGCAGACAGAGGGUAGGUGAUUUGCCCAGCGUCACACUACUAAUGGAUAUCCAAGGCUGGAUUUGAGUCAAAUCUCCCUGAAUCCACAUCCAGCACUCUAACCAUUGAGCAACCUUGCUGCCUGGGCAGAGACUGCCAGGUUCCUCUGAGAUUCUCAUGUUGGAGCAACAGUAAGUCCGGCAGUGGACAGUGUGGACACUGAAGUACUUGGACAGUUUUGGUCAUGACUGGCAUAGGUUUUCCUGCUGGGAAAGACUGGAGCAUUUGAAUUUGGAGGCUGUCAGCUUCCGGGCUGCCAGGGAGUUAACCCCUUUUGAGUCAUCUCCAGUAUUUGGAUUCAAACAUCUAUGUGCAAGAAUGUCUGUGUUUACCCUUAGCACAAAUGCAGCAGGAGAAGAUAUUUCCCUAAAUAGGCCAGAGGCUGUUGACUUACAGAUCUGAUUAGAUCUAGGGUUCCUAAACUGGGAUCAGCAGACCCUUAAGAAGUCCAUGGAUAGAUUUUAGGCAGUCCUUGAAUUUGGACAGGAAAACAUUCACAUCUUUAUUUUCACUGACCUUUAGCUGGAAUUGAGCAUUUCCUUCAAUUAGGAUUUUAAAAAAAAUUCUAAGGGGUCCAUGGGCUCCACCAGAAUGCCAGUGGGGUCCACGCACAAAAAAAAAAGAUUAUAAACUUCUGGAUUGGAUAAUCUACCCCAACCCUAGACAGAGAGCAGUGACAUCACUCUCAGAGGAGCAGAGGCCAGGGCUAAGGGGAGCCAUUUCCUUGAGAGCCAGAGAAAGACUCAAGGAGCUUAGCUCCUGUGGGUGUUGGGUAAAGUCCAUGAAAGGGGAAUUUCAACACAUGCUUUGAUCCUUCCACCUACUCUGUUUAGAUCUAGUAUCUAUUGAUUUCUUUAAAUAUCUUCCCAUUCAAAUGUAAAUUAUUUGAAGUCUGGGACUUUGUAUCAUAUCAACACAGCGGGUGGUACGUAUUAAGCUCUUAAUAAAAUCUUGUUAAUGAACUUGUCUGCCAAAGAAGACCUGACACUGGUCGCAACUCCCUGCCCACACUGGGGGAGCUGGAGCCAGUCCAACUGGCUGGAGAGAGCUGAUUGUUAAAUUUUCAGGAGUGUGCAUUUGGAUCUCAGAAACUGGCAAACUGCAAAUCCGAGCUCGAUUCAUUAUUUUGUUGAUUGUCUAGACUUAAGAAAAUGUUAAUGCAGAUUCAACCUUAAAGUGUGUCACU